rnacentral:rRNA from 1 species
UGGUGGAGUGAUUUGUCUGGUUAAUUCCGUUAACGAACGAGACCUUAUCCUGCUAAAUAGUUGCUGAAAGUUUUCACUUUCACGGCAACUUCUUAGAGGGACUAUUGAUGUUUAAUCAAUGGAAGUUUGAGGCAAUAACA